UGAGUUUUUGAUUUCAUUGUGCAUGUGUGUGUAGGGUAUUGUCUAUUGUGUAAUAAGUUGAUGAGUAUAAUAACAAAUAAGUAACUUAGAGUUUAAAAUAUUGAAAAAUGUCAAUAAUAAUAAUUAUUGUAGAUUGUUUUUAUAAUAUGUGAAUCUGAGGUAGAACUGAAUAAUUACUCUUAAAAUGACCGAGAAAUUAGCUGUGAAGUUUUCUCAUCAUGAACAACAGGAAUUUUGUUAUAAUCGACCGCAUUAUAGACAAGGCAGAAAAUUUACCGCCGUAAAGGUAGUUAAUCAAAAUACUUUCUGCGAGUCAUGUCUAGGUAUAUACGAUUAAUGAUGAAUCGACGCAUCUUUUGAUCUUUGACGUUCCUGGUAUCAAUUUGAGAGAUGAAUUGGCCAAGUUGGUGAAGAAAUAUGGGCCAAUCAAUUCCUUAUCUCAAGUGAAAGAUUAUGACGAUCUAAAACAAUUUACGGAGCUUUACCAUGUCAAUUACAAACGAAUUCAAGCUGCCAGGUAUGCGAAACGACAACUGGAUAACCGCUCAUUUUAUGGUGGAAUUUUACAUGUGUGCUAUGCUCCUGAAUACGAAAGUGUGACCGAAACUAGAGAGAAACUUAUACAGAGAAGGCGAGAGGUUUCUCUCAGACUACGGAUUAAUGAGGGAAAAUCAAUUUCUGGAGAGUCAAAAACCAGUAAACCGGUAAGGACAAGAAAACAUCCAGCUCUUCCUUUGACUAAUCGCAGCUCGGAUUCAUCAGAAAGCCAUGUCGUUGGAUCCACUUCUCAAUCCGUCAUAACGCCUUCAGCCUCUCUACUGCAGGAAAGGUUUCAUCCUCGAGGAAUCAAAAGGAAACAUGAAUCAGCGACAGAGAAUGAAUUGGUGGCUGACAAUAAAAUUUCAUCAACGAAUUCUAGCUCUGCUAAAAUGCCAACCACUUUAGAUCGAAGUUUGACUACAAAUGAGAUGAAAACAUUGAAAUUUGUUCCCCGGUCUGUGUCAUGUGUCAAAAGGAUCACAUUUCACAAACCUCGGAGUCAGGUUCCUUAAUGAAUGGACAAGGAAUGGACUAAGACACGAACAUGCUUUUGCAUUGCAGUUCGAUUGUAUUCUCUUUAAUAUGUGUUUAUUGCCAAUCAUGCUACAAUUUUAAAAUCUAUAUAAAUAAGAAAGCGAUUUGUCGUUGACAAGAAAACUGCAGUGAAGAAUUCUCAAUAAUUAUUGUUUACAUGAAUUUUAUGAUGUGAUAAAUAAUUUACUAUUAUCUCUUUUCUGUAUAGGGCUACUUGUAAUAUAAAUAGAAAUACAAAUCUUA